GGCGUCCUGUAGUUGCAAAAUAUCGAAUAAUAUAUAUUUUUGAAAAUAUUAUGUAAAAGAUUUGUAUUUUACAAAUUUACCAAGAAGUACGUGAGUUGCGGUAGGAAUUAAGAUUUUUCUAUACUUUGUAAAUUCAUAAAAGUCGGUAUAUAAAUUUGAAAAGAAAAUCAGAUUUCAUAAUUUGAAAAACGUGUAGACAGACAGAUGGGAGAGGCGUAUUGAUUUUGUAACAGUUUCUGGAAAUUUUUCUUAAAAGCUAGCAAAAUCAUUUUGCAAACUUCAUCCUGUUUAUGUAUGAGAUACAAAUAUUCGUUUGAUAUUAUAUUUAUUAAAGUUGACGACUUUUCUGAUCUAGAAACUUAUUUAUUUGAGUCGUAUAAAUUUAUAAUUUUCUGAAAUUGGCAUCACCGUCACAUAAAUAUUGUUCGUAUCCACCAAGCGUUCAUAAAGUGUUUGUAAAAUCGGUUUUUUAAUUUUUUUUAUCGAAACGUAUUCUCCCCAACCUUUUUAGUUUUCAAAAUUCUGAUAACAAAUAAAUAAGUUUCCAAUUUCCAAUUUUAAUUUGUAAAAAAGUGUAACAAACUAUGCAAAUAAGAGCAAUUUUUAAUUUCACUUGCAAAUUAUGUAACGAGUUACAAAGAUAAAUCACAUAACGGUAAAAAUAACUAGCAGAUUUUUUUUAACACUUGCAACUUUUUUUUUCAAAUUAUCACAAUUCUUAGAGGAGGAUGGACGAUCUACCAACAGCCUUUGCACAUCAUAUACGGUGUUAAAAUUGUGGAAAAGCCACUCGUACAUUUUUUGUCCAAUAGUUUGAUGCCAUCGGUGCUGGUUAUAUACAAAUAUGCAGGUAAGUUUGAAAAAUCCUUAAAUUUUGAAAAAAUAAUUUUAGAAACUUUUACAAAAUAAAAAAGACGCCUUUGAUCUGGCCAAGUUUACAAAAAUUUGUAAGGUCAUUGUUCCUUAAAAUAUUUGACAAAGUUUGUGAAUUUACGGAUUUUACGAAGUUGCCAAGGCCUGAAUGAACUGCCGCAGCAGAGUUUUCUUUUUAUAAAUGGUCCAUUGCCAAUUUUAGAUAACUAUAUUUCUUAAUACUAUGUGGAUAAUUUUGUCAAAAUUUCUACCACAAGUAAAAAGAUACCACUAUUUUUUAAGGUACAAUUCAAAAAAUUGCAAAAAAAUUGCUUGCGGUUUUGUCUGUUUCGGAGAUAUUUUCUAUUUAAAUAUUCGUAUUUACUUACUUGUUUUUGUGUAUUGUUUCCGCGUAGAGUUUUUUCUAAGGUGUGCUUGCUGUGUGUGUGUGUGUUCAUCUGUAGUAGGUAUACUCUGCUGCGAAGAAGCCAUAAUGGCAGAUAUACCAAUGGUAUUAAACAGGACUGUUUUGCAAGGAAUAAAUAUUAAUUCAUAAGCAUUAUUGUGGAAGAGGGAAAUCAGUUGGUUUUUCGAGUUUGGUUUGGUUUGAUAUUCUGUAAAUAAACAACAACACAUAAAUAUUAGUAAGUCACGAGUUCGAAUCCCAGCAGCAUUUCCAAAAACCCACAAUCACCUACACAGACCACUCGAACAACAAGCCAUGGUUGAAAUUGGAUGGAGUUCACCUUUUAUUUAUGCGUGUGUCUCAAUUUGUGCCAAGCAAGUAAAUAAGUAGAAAGUAUUUACAAAAAUAGAUUAGGGGUAUGAUUUAAAAUUAUAUUUAUAUGUAAAUGCAUUUAUAUUUAUUUAAUUAUUGGUGAAAAUAUCACGUUUUCAUAUUCUUCAAGAGAGCGAAAAAAUAUUUAAGUUAUGUUUUACGGUUGUAAUUUUUAAUUGGAGUUAAAUCAAAUUCGGACAGAAUAAUAAACACAAAGUUGAAUAUCUUAAA